AGGGUUGUGGCUCAGUGGUAGAGCGCUUGCCUAGCAUGCAUGAGGCACUGGGUUCGGUCCCCAGCACCACUU
rnacentral:tRNA from 1 species